ensembl:lncRNA
CACCCCUCCCUGCCAAAAACCCAAAACUAAACACCACAGAAACCCUAAAACUUGUAUAUUCUCAAAAUUUUCUUUCGGUAAUCACUGAGUGAACUGAAAUUGGACAACAUCAUAAUUGCUCUUUCUGUGACUGAGGAGAAAAAAUCUGAGGUGGACGUCAUCACUCAUGGAGAGGGAGGAUCAGCCAUUUUACAUCUUCCCCCAAAGGUACAGAAAGAAGCAGAUGGCAUCUCAUGGAAAAGAGACUGACCAGGAGCCUGGAGGCUCAGACUUAAGCCUUAGCAGGUGACCUGGGGUCAGGAUGAUUCUCAGGAAUGGCUGCUCCUAGGAGCAGCAGAGAAGCGGGAAGUCUGGGAAGAAAGCCCUUCAAGCCUGGCCUGCAGCGGCUUCUCCUCCUGGGUGCCAAUGCUCUUGACAGGCCACAGAGCCCCGGUUCCAGCCAUGCAUCGUGUGACGAAAGAGGUGGUACAAGGUACAGCAAAUAAACUUACCAUGUUUCCCGUCCGACCGCAAAGCCCGACUGCCCAAUAGAGCCAUCUCAGUUCCACUGCAAUUUUUGCAGGUAAAAUUUUCAGUCAGCCACCAGAGGGUGCCCACAGAGCUCUCUGAAAAUGACCAAAUCCUGCAGAAUUAGAAAAUUUCCAGUGUAUCUAAAACUAAUACCAAAGAUAGCUCCCUCACAUAUGACUGGGAGUGAUGCACAGGCCAGCUAAGGAGCUGCAAGUUUGCAGGGGAUGAA